UACGAAGGGUGCAAGCGUUAGUCGGAAUUACUGGGCGUAAAGCGUGCGUAGGCGGUUUCUUAAGUCGGAUGUGAAAGCCCUGGGCUCAACCUGGGAAUGGCACUCGAUACUGGGAAGCUUGAGUGCGGUAGAGGAGGGUGGAAUUCCCGGUGUAGCGGUGAAAUGCGCAGAUAUCGGGAGGAACACCUAUGGCGAAGGCAGCUCGCUGGGACGUUACUGACGCUGAGACGCGAAAGCGUGGGGAGCAAACAGG
rnacentral:rRNA from 1 species